CACCGGCGUAAGAAUUUAUUUAUCAUUCACCAAAACAAAAAACGCGCUUUGAAUGGUUUAAUAAAACCUUGAUUUUAGUCAUUCAUUUGAGCAUUUAUUAUUCAGAGGGGGGCAUCACAACAGUCAGUUUUCUCCUAGUUGUCUUCAUCUUUUUACAGUCUGCGAUCAUCGCCAUCGCCCACCUGCACGAGACACAAUUACAGAGUGAAUUGGAGGAGUUACUACAAAUUGUAGCAGCAAAUCAAGAAAGCUACCAACUUUGGACCUAUUACAACUAUCGGCCGUCGUCUUCUGGAUAACAACAAUACCGAAGUUAAACUUACCUGCGAAUCUCUAACUAAUAUCAGUUGUAUACAAGUAUCCUAAUUGAUCAAGUUCUCCAAAGU